ACCGGCAACAAGCUACCUUUCAUGAUUAAGGAAAGAUGUCUCAGAAGACACUUUUGUAGUUUGAGAAAAUGUUCCUGGAAGAGAAAUUCCUGCGCUAAGUCAUUUCUAGAGGAAAUGAAUGAAGUUGGAGGAAGUCAUCAAGAGGACAUGACCAUCAACUGACCCUCUCAGCAGAACCCAGGCAAUUUGAGGCUCUUUACUCUACCCCCAACCUUGCAAUGUGCAUUCCACUUGCCUGUCCUGCCCUGGAAAAUGCCCCAGGAACACAGUCAUGAGAGAGUAAUGUGCUGUUGAGGCAUUCUGGCAGUAUAUGUAAUUCUGGUAGGCAGAGGCAGAGAUACAUCUGUCCCACAGCUGCC